CCUGACCUAGUGAGAUAUACAUGGAGGAGGUUUAAUAUCCUGACCUAGUGAGAUAUACAUGGAGGUUUAAUACCCUGACCUAGUGAGAUAUACAUGGAGGAGGUUUAAUAUCCUGACCUAGUGAGAUAUACAUGGAGGUUUAAUACCCUG